UGACCCUCACCCACCCCUCCUUCCAGCACUGGCAGAGCAGCUUUGGAGAGCCCCUGUGCUGCUCUGCCCUGCCUCACUCCAGACCUUUCCAAGAACAAGCCAUGCUACCUGAGCAGGGGCACAGCUCCUGGUGGCGUGUCCCACCUCAUCCCCACCCCCCCAGACACUCCCAGCUCCUCACAGCAUCCUGUCCCCCCCCCCAGCACCCUGCAGCUCCUUCCUCCAGGUUUUACUAAUGCUCUUCCCGCUGUUUGGAACACUGCUCCCCAGGUGGACGAAAACCUCAGGCCCCUCUCCUUCAUUCCUUUGGGUCUUGGCUCUUCCUAGCAAGGCCUUUCCUGACAGCCCUGUUUAAACCCCACCCUCCCAGCAGCCCGCCUCCUGCCGCCCACCUGUGUCUCUCCUACAGUCAGGACAUCUGUGAGCACCCUGGGCAUCUGGGAACAGCCCUGUGUGGCCCACCUCAGUUCUCGUCUGUCUCUGUCAGAAUCUGCCAUUGUGUGGUUUGUCCUGAGUAGGGGGUGAGGCUGGGCCUGGGUUCGAGUUCUGCCAUUUCCUUUUCUCAUUUAAAAAGGAAGGCAGAAGAACAGGGCCUGAGUGAAAAGUCAGCACCCAUCAUCUGGGAGAACGUAGGCUCCAUGCGUGUCUGUCUGUACCAGGGAUAUUAUGUGGCCGUUAGGAAGAGCCGGUGCAGCCCAGGGCGGCGGUGCACACCUGUAAUCCCAGCACUGGGAAGGCAGAGGCAGGAGGAUCUCUGUGAGUUUGAGGCCAGCCUGGUCUACAGAGCGAGUGCUAAGACAGUCAGAGCUGUUACACAGAGAAAUCAGGUCUCGAAAAAAAAAAACUCAAAAAACCAAACAAAACAGAACAAAAACCAAAGAAGAGCCUUUGCUGGUUCCCACCAGGUGACCCUUCUCGUAUGCUUGUUCUAAAGUCAUUGUUUGUAAGCUGUCUUUUCUCUAUAAUUUGUUUUUAAUGAAAAAGAAAGAAACUUACAACAGAUCCAGCGUUUUGCUUUUACUGCCCCCCAUCUUUGGUUUGAAAAGAGUAGAGAUUUGUUUUUAGUUGAGAUAUAAGCUACUUAUCACCAGUGUGGCCAUUUAAGCCAGGCCUGGCAGGAGAAGCCUGCACUCUUAGCACGUGGAAGAGGAUCCAAAGGAUGGAGGGAUGAGGGAUUGCUCUGCUGUGUUGCAGUUCAAAGCCAGCCUAAGCUACUCGGAAGCUAUUGGGAAAAGUGACAAUUAAGGAACCCUUAACUAACAGACGAGCAACCAUCUCAGGUAACCACUGAGUCCUGUCACAAGUUGGGCAUGCCCAGUUCUCCAGUUACAAACAUUCCCUGUCCUCCCCUCCCCCACUCUGAGCUCCUGCCCCGGCCCCCGGGAGCCCCAAUGAGCCUCUAUGGGGUUUUCACAGGACAUAUUCCUCACAGAUGCUGCCGGGCGACCUUUAGUGAACUUCAGUAUCCAUGGCAUCCUUGGGACAGCAGUGGUAGCUGUCCCUUUUCCUAAGCGAGGACAGUUCCAUCGUCCAGAUCCCAGCGGCUGCUGUGGCACCGGAUGCCUCUUCCGCAUGGCCACAUCCUAACCAGGCAGGGGCUCAUCUUUUGUUGAUCGAGGGACAAUAUUCCACAGCCGUAUCAGCAACACAGCCCCGCCCCGCCCCCACCCCACGGGUCCUGGUGACCUGGCUUUGCCCACCCCUCUGGCCUCCUCAGUGGGUAAGGCUGCCAGGCAACCCCUCCAGGCCACUGGGUCUCCCCUCUCAACCCCACUGCCUUCAAGCCCCUCAAACAAUCUCUCCCCUGCUGAGACCAGCGCAAUCCAGUGUGCUCGGGCCUGUGAGGUCUUCUGGGCCCUGGUAGGGGUGCCCAGGGUGUGUCAGCCUGCCUGUUGGGUCUGAGGCAGACCCUCAACCCGAGGAGGGACACAGUUGUUGUUUUUUUCCCUUUGGCUCAGAAAACAGCACUCAGCCCACUAAUGCCAUGGCCUCCAUCCUGGAGUCAGGCAGCCACCCUCUCCCCAACCACCCACAGUGCCCACAAAUCCCUCUGGCUCUGUCUUCCUGGGGUUCUGGAAAUCCCCACGGUUCCCCCCCACUGCUGCCUCACCUGAUUGGCCUUCAAGGCUCAUCCCUCCUAGGCCAGCCCUCAGCUGGCCUCCCUGCCUCCUUCCUCGCCUUCAGCGGCUCACCCUCUCAGCCCCAGGGGGCUUCAGAGAUCCAGGCUGGUUCACUCACUGUCCUGCUCCAAUCCUGCCAUGGCUCCCACCGCCCCUGAGGAGAAGCUGUCCCAGGAAUGGUCCUGUACCCUGUCCCCUACCUCAUCCUCGGACUCAUCAUUUCCUUGACACCUCUUGGCCUCUGCUCCUGCUGCGGACCUGUUGAGAUGUUUCUGGAUCCUUCCGUGGUCCUCAUGUGCGUAUGCUUCAAGGUCUCCCUCUGUUCCCAUCCUGAUCUGUUUUCCCGCUGCCCUUGUCGUCCUGUACCGAGUGGUACCCAUGCUCCCAUCCCCGCUGCCCAAGGCGUCCUGUGUGCUGUAGUAUCUGCUCUCUCGGGUCCACAGCCUCAGACUGAGCCAGCUACUGUGGAACUGUGGGAACAAAGUGUCCUGUGCUGACAUCUGAGGACAUCCCUCGUCAGCAUCACCUGGACCACAGAGUGUGGUUCCACACAGCACCGACACUGAGCCAGACAGCAGAAUCCUCUAUCAGGAUUUAAAGGGCUCCACGGAGUCAGGCAUGGUGGUGCAUUCGGAUAAUUCUAGCGCCGCGAGGAUGAGAUAGGAAGAUGGUCAUGAAUUUGAAGCCAGCCUGUGCCUACCUAGAGAGACGCUGUCUCAAAGACAAAAACAAAACCCCAAACAACGAGGAGGCUGCUUUAGCAGGUUCCACAUACCCUUCACACAGCCUGGUGUGCAGGAGACAGGGUGGGACUAAGGAUCUGGGUGUUGGGGGCCUGUUGGCGCUGCCCACGCUGAGUGAGCUGCUGCAGAGAUCUGGGUGGCGCCACUCUGUGCCCGAAAGCAAGCGUGUGAGUCAGGGGACCAGGACACUGUCUGCGGGUGCUGGAGUGCCCUGUGUGGGUUGGAGGGUAGUCCUGAAUCUGCAAAAGGCAACAGCGCCUGGAACCUCCCGAACACCUCUGACUGGAGCCCCGUCCAUUUGUCUCCACCAGGCAGGAGGGCUGAGAGGUGAGGGAGGAGGCAUUUGGGGGCCAGGAGGGAGUGACAGAGGUGGCCUUAUAGGGACAGGGCACCCACCAGGGUGGCAGGGAGUGAUGGGGGACUUGUGUGACCUAUUCCUCCUCACUCACUCACUCACUCACUCACUCACUCACUCACUCACUCACUCACUCACUCACUCACCCAGUCAGCAUUCAUGACCUAGUCUGGUCAGCUGAUGAUGAUUCCUGACCCUCGGUGGUGUCAGGCCAGGAUGGCAGUGAUGGGGAGGAGGCUAGGAGGUUGGGGAGGCCAGGAAGGACAAUGAGCUGAGAGCAGAGAGGUAAACAGAGACGAGGCCGAUGGGAAGACGGGAACAAGGGGCCUCAGCAAAGCAAGGGUCCCGUGAUAGACACAGGCGGAGGAAGUCAGAGCAGCUAGAAGACCAUUUGGCUGCAGCCCCCCCAGACCCUAGGUACCCCAGCCCCCCUGCCCGGGAUAAAGGACAAGAGGACAAGCAGCUUUUGCUUCCCUUUUGGGACAGUCCCAGGGCUGUGGUUAAACGGAAGCAGGGCCUCUAUCCAUCCCCACCCUCCCCAUUCCAGCCCAGACUCUUCCCGGCUGACCACUACCUCCUUCCGUUUUUCUCUGGGUGGGAGGAAAUGGGUGGUGCCCUGGGAAGAUCCCAGACUCAGUUUCUCCAUCAGAGAAGGUCAGUUGACCUUGUCAUAUAUAUACAUAUUAUAUAUAAAAUAAAUAAUAUAAAAUAAAUUAAUUAAAUAAUUA